rnacentral:rRNA from 1 species
UAAAGGUAUUCCGGUAGACGAUGGGGAUGCGUUCCAUUAGAUAGUAGGCGGGGUAACGGCCCACCUAGUCUUCGAUGGAUAGGGGUUCUGAGAGGAAGGUCCCCCACAUUGGAACUGAGACACGGUCCAAACUCCUACGGGAGGCAGCAGUGAGGAAUAUUGGUCAAUGGGCGAGAGCCUGAACCAGCCAAGUAGCGUGAAGGAUGACUGCCCUAUGGGUUGUAAACUUCUUUUAUAAAGGAAUAAAGUCGGGUAUGCAUACCCGUUUGCAUGUACUUUAUGAAUAAGGAUCGGCUAACUCCGUGCCAGCAGCCGCGGUAAUACGGAGGAUCCGAGCGUUAUCCGGAUUUAUUGGGUUUAAAGGGAGCGUAGAUGGAUGUUUAAGUCAGUUGUGAAAGUUUGCGGCUCAACCGUAAAAUUGCAGUUGAUACUGGAUAUCUUGAGUGCAGUUGAGGCAGGCGGAAUUCGUGGUGUAGCGGUGAAAUGCUUAGAUAUCACGAAGAACUCCGAUUGCGAAGGCAGCCUGCUAAGCUGCAACUGACAUUGAGGCUCGAAAGUGUGGGUAUCAAACAGGAUUAGAUACCCUGGUAGUCCACACGGUAAACGAUGAAUACUCGCUGUUUGCGAUAUAC